AGUGAUAGACUAUUUGAAUAAGAAAUUUAUUACCGUACCAUUUGAGCAUCGUCUAUCACUAGACGAGCAAAUGUGUGCAACAAAAAUCAAACAUUUUAUGAAACAAUACUUACCCAACAAGCCCCAUAAGUGGGGAUUCAAAUUAUAUGUUUUAUGCUCUCUGUCUGGGUAUGCCUACAGUUUUGAGAUUUACUCAGGAGCUAAGGACAUAGACCGUUUACCUGACGAACCAGACCUCGGAGCUGUAUCGAAUACAGUUAUUCGAUUGUUACGACCAGUACCAAGGCACGUCAAUCAUAUAACUUAUUUUGACAAUUUUUAUACGAAUAUUCCUCUGCUACAUUACUUGACCAACGAAGGUAUUUAUUGUCUUGGAACAGUACAGAGAAACAGGCUCGGAAAGUCGUGCAAGUUGCCGGAGAAACGGGAAAUUAUGAAGUCUAACGUACCCAGAGGAACAUAUCACGAAAAUGUGGCCUCUCACGAAGGCAAAGAAUUCUCGGCCACAAGUUGGAAAGACAAUAAACAAGUAUUAUUACUUUCCACGUAUGUUGGCGCUGAACCAGCGGAUACUAUAACCCGCUAUGAAAAAAAACUAAAGGCUUAAUGUUCAAGUAUCAUGUCCUCGGGUCAUAAAAGAAUAUAAUACACACAUGGGCGGUGUUGAUUUGAUGGAUAGCUUCAUUGGUCGAUAUCGCAUCCGCAUAAAGUCAAGAAAGUGGACAACGAGGCUCUUCUACCACUUGCUAGACAUGACUGUCAUCAAUGCCUGGGUACUUUACAACAAGGUAAACACAGUGAAAGGAAAACUUCCGAAGAAUAUUAUGAAGUUAGAAGAUUUUAGAACUGAGCUUGCCGAUACUUUAUGUAGAUAUCAAAGUGAUUCGAAAAAUAAAAGGGGAAGACCCAGUGCAAACAGUCGACAAGAUACUACAGUACCUUCUAAAAGACCCCGGACAGGUGUACAAGUACUACCCUCUACUGACGUGCGUUGCGAUUCUAUUUGUCAUGAAAAAAUAUUUAUGGAUUCUAGAAAUAAGUGCAAAUUUAAUAAUUGUAGGAAACUUACGUCUUGGUUCUGUAAAAAGUGUAAAGUGUCGUUAUGCGAUAAUAAAAUUAACCAAUGUUUCGCAUUAUUUCAUGCAUAGGUAGGAUACCUUUUUACAGAACCAAGAGGUAAGUUUCCUACAAUUAUUAAAUUUGCAACUGAUGUCAUUAUGGCCUUAAUGCCUGAAGUAUCAAAAUUGAUACCUGUUUCUUUUUUUAAAUAAAUAUGUAAAAUGAAGAUUUUGAUUUUUUUAGCUAUUUUUCCCUUCAUUUAGAUCCUCAAGCAAACACAGUAAUAUUAAAAAAAAAACUUUCGUGAAUCAGGCUAUUUAAGGGCUAAUCUCGUAAGAGCUACAAGUCAGAUUUCUCAUCCCUUUUCAUAGAAAAGUACUGUAAAUAUAUCUACGCACGUAUUUGCAUCAUAAUGUUAGUUUGAUUUUAUUUUAAAAAGACUGCUACAUAAUUUCAUGGUUAAAUUGAUAGUAAAUUGUACUUGUAUUUAAAUUCGAGACAAAAAUACUUAAAUAAAUGAUUCGAUUUUAAAAAAUAACUUUUUGUUUCUUUAGUUAGUAGGUAUAACUCUCCUAAUAUAUUACAAAUAAAUAAUAUAAAAAAUAAAGUAUUGAAACAGAUAAAAAUCUGUUCCAAUUUUAUGCCAAGCCGAGGUAAUAAUUAGGAAAAACUAAAAAAAAAAAACAUUUAUAUGUCCAUCCAAUUAACUCGAGUUCAACCCGAAUAAUUUGGAUUUUAACUCGAGUUACGUUUAUCCCGAGUUGGCACAUCACUAGUUACGUUGCUGUAUAAGCUGUUAAGUGAUUUAUUAACUAGAAGACGCUUACCAGUACCCCCAAUAUAUCAGCUGUUAGUAACAUUGAGAUUCUACGUUACUGGUAGUUUUCAGGUACUUACUGGUGUAACGCGCCCGUACCGCGCCUCUCGCACCCCUCUCUCCCUUGAGAUCACGCUACUCAACUCGCCCCUCCUACCAGGAGAUCAGGCCACGUUCUUAGCCCCUCUUCUGUACAACACGCCACCAGCGCUGCCGCGUUCCUGCUCCUCGCCUCUUGCACCCCGUGCCCUGCUCGAGACAUCCCCGUGUCGCGCUUCCCGUGCCCCGCGCCUCAUACCACAAUCGGCGCAACCGCACCGGACAGCUAGUCGGACCCCGUCUGCUCUCGCGCAAAAACAUCAUUAUGCCCUCAUAAUCUUCCGUUGGCUCGUUUUCACAUAUUUUUUUGUAACUUUUGUUGUGUAAUGUUAACAUCAGUAUUAAAUUUUUCAAGAUUCCCUAUUUAAAAGAAAAUUUGAGCAAGCUACUCUAGAUGGAAUACUUCUAGGUGGUGAAAAGAAAUAAAUGACAUUGUAUUUCUAGCUUUAACAACAGAUUUGUGGACGUCCGAGGUUAACGAUGCUUACAUUGCCGUCACGGGCUCACGGGGCACCAUAUAACAAAAGAUCUCAUACUUAAAACAUUUUUACUAAAAUGUGCAGAGUUUAAAGAUACGCACAGCAGCGCGAAUAUUCAAGCUGCAUUGCUCGAAUAAAAUUUUAUUGUUACUGACAACGCAGCUAAUGUGAAAUAAGCCAUUACUGAUAUAGGGUGGGAGCAUUACGGAUGCUACGGCCACACGUUGAACUAAUACAAGAUGCCCUGAAACUAGUCCAAGCUGCUUUGGACAAAGUUAAAACUCUCGUCCGACAUUUUAAAACAAGCACUGCAGCGCUAGAGGAAUUAUUAAAAGCACAAACACAAGAAAAUCCGGACGUGACACCAAAGCGCUUGGUACAAGAAGUACCAACCCGGUGGAACUCUGUAUUUGCCAUGUUAAUGCGAUUUGUGUAACUUGAAAACCAAAUGUGUGCCACUGUGGCAAUACUUAAAAAAGAUUUACCGAUAUUAAUUAUCGAUGAAUGCAUAAUGUUUAAUGCACUCUGUACAGUUUUAAAACGUCCUCUUUAAAUGCCUGUAGCUGGCUAGCUAGAAGUCACAUGUCUUGAGCAAUUCCUCAAAAGGGGUCACAUUCAAGUUUGCUCCAAAGCGCGAUGGCCCAUACGUAGUCAGUAAGAAGACAAGUCUAUACGUAUUGCGUCGCAUUUCCUGAUAAGCCUGAUGAGAUUGUAUUGAAAAUGUUAGUUGUUUAACUAGUAGUGGGGGCACUUGUCCUAGUCUAAAGGGGGAGUAUGUAGGAGUCCUGCAUAUACGAUACGCUGUCUCUUUCGCACGGAUACUCUCUCAGCUCAGCUAUUAAUCGGGCCACUGAUAUAAGUUUCUUUGAUGUUGACAGGGUUAAAAACAAAGGUCCAACAAAACGGUCGGAGAACUUCAAAAACAACAUAGGUAAACCUAAGAAUCAAAGAGAUGCUCAAGAUGUAGUCCCCAGCACUACAGCAACACCUAUAAGAGACGAGCCCUUGUAUGAUAUUGGGCCUCAUUCCUUCUUGCUGGCAGUUCAAGACACAUACUGUCAAAAUUUUGAAUACUCUGGAUUUAUUCCAUUAGUUAACCAGACGUACGAAAAACUCCAAGGUGUGGAUCCCCGCCUCCUUGACCGUAUGCCAUUAAGUAUGUGUUGCGGCCGUAACGUCAUGCGCUAAACCACUAAUUAAACUAGACCGGCAGGCCAAUCCCGGCAUCGAUGACGGGGUAUAUAAGACGAUGACAAGUGUUUUCUCGCUCUCUUUCGCUUCCGUUAUUUACCCGAUGUCGACAUUCUCGUUCCUUCAUCUUGUAAUUGUAAAGUGGCAGAAAUCAACCGAUUCUACGUAAAGAAAGUUUUAUUCAAACCAACACAUCGAACAUUGGUCCUUUGCUCCAAACACUGGCCCAGCAAGGAAGACUGGUAAAAAGCGCAUUCAGAAGACGAGGUAAGCCAACCAUCCGCCAUAUUCCCCGACCGCAUGGUAACAUUUACGUUAAUAUUGUGCCUCGGUGAUUUCAGUGAUUUGGUGUAUGCAAGUUGCCGCGGUGACCGAAACCAGCAGUACAGUGUGCCGCAGCCAGCACCGUCUGUACCUGACCACGCGUCGGGUCCGCCUCUUACAGUGAGUACUCCACACAAUGGCAACUAAAUUGGGUGUAGAAUUAAACGCGGAAGUAGCUUCUUUAUCACGCGUUAGGUCUCCGUAACAAAGUACGGAAGGUUUGACCUUGAAUCAUCUUAUACGUAAACGUGGUAUUUAAAAAGGUAAUUUCAGUAAAUUUCAUAAUUAUUUGCUCACAUUAUGCGCCGACAAUUUAACAAACGUGCAAAUAAUCGACAUCAACUUAAGAAUCCAAAACACGGUCACUUUAUUUUCCAAAUUUAACGUAAUUCAGUCGCAAACCGAAGAUUCGGUUGCUAACGUAAAUCUAGAUGAGCAGCUAGAACAUCGCGAACUAUUCGAAAGUAAUUAUUUUAAAACGCUCGCGUUAGCGCAAAGCAUAUGUAUAAACAAUGCGAUCAACAAUGAGAAUAAGUCCGAAGUUACCUACUAUUAUCAUGCCCACCUUCAGUGGCGAAUACGACCAGUGGCUGGAGUUCUGCGAUCAUAUCGCUAGUUCAUAAUUCACAUGAGAUCAGUAACAUCCAAAAAUAUCACUAUCUUAAAUCAAAGGUAGUGCGGAAUUAGUAAUAGAUUAGCUAGAAUUCUCCAGCAACAAUUACCCGAUUGCUUGGGAACUACUAUUAAAUCGAUACGAUAAUCAUAGGUUAUUAAUAUUCAACCACGUGACAUCUUUAUUCAGUUUAAAGUCUAUUUCAAACGAGUAGUCUAGUUUAAUUAGGAAUUUAAUUGACACGGAACCCACAGACUCCUGGGAUACCCUUAUUACAUACUUAGUUGCGUCGAGGUUAGAUUAAACGAGUGGGAGCAAUACAAAAUUAAUUUAUUUGCGGACAACGCCGACACGCGACCCGUUAAGCUAGAUAACUUGCUUAAAUUCCUACGACAUGCUUGACACGUUGUCAGUUUCGAACAAAUAAAAUAUUACGCGAAGUAAGUCAAAGGAUUACUGCAACGUGUCAAGCGACAAGCUCUCGAGAAUAUACAGUUAAAAAUUGUCUCGCUUGCAACGCGAAUCAUCCGUUAUUUGUGCGAAAAAAUUAUCAACUUAGACAUCAUCAUUACAAGACAUGUAAGAAAUGUAACAAAAAACAUAACAUAAACAUAGUUGGGUUACAAAUGACGAAAAACGGUUAAUAACAGACGUAAUUAUCGAGACAUGAUAAUCAAAAGUUACGAUUCAAUUACCUUAAAAAAAUUACACCAAUACCGUGAAGAAAAUCGGUGUAUAUAUACCGAUGACAGCUAAAUCUUAACCAAUCAUGUGCAAAACAAAGGAUGGGGUACCAAAGUUGGACCACCAUUAAAGAAUUACCUAUCUAAGGAGAAAGGAUAAUCAUUGAACUUACUGGUGCAGAACAAGGGUUCAUACCUAACGGACUAUUGACAUACAAAGCAAGUAGCGUUUCUGGUGAUUACCACUCUAACAUGAAUGCAGAAAACAAUAGUGUCUGAAAGAACGUCUGGUACCAAAUCUUCCACCGAUAUUCGUAACCCAAGGAAAAUACCCUGCCCUUGUCUUUGAAAAUUAAAAGACUAGUUUCCCAUAUAUUGAAGCUCGGAUGCAGGAUUUCCUCCAGAAAGAAAUUUGCGGAAAAACUAGGAUUGAAGCACAAUUUUAAUAAUGAAACUAAAAUGGCUGGACCACAAUGGUUGAAAAGCUUCCUUGAAAGAGGGCUUACCAAUUCAAAGAGCGAAGGGUCUAAGUAGGGCCGAGGUAGCCAAAUUUUUUGAUUUGCUCAUAACCGUCUUGACUGACAAUGACUUGCUAGAUAAGUCGGAGCGAAUUUUCAAUAUACCUGGCAAAGUAUUGGCCAAAAAAGGGACUAAAACAGUGGAAUCACUUACUUCCGGUGAAAAAGGCGAAACAAUUACAGUUGUUGUUUGUUGCAACGCUAUUGGCAAAUUUCCUCCCACCUGUUCUGAUUAUCAAGGGGGUAAAUAAAAAGCCUGAAUUUGAAGGAUUUCCACCUGGUUCAAAAGUUUAUAUGCCAAAGAAAUUAGCAUAUAUUUGCUCAGAACUUUUUUAAAAGUGGCUGACCGAACAUUUUAUACCCCGUGUUCGAACCAAAGACAAUUACGUCAAAAUCCAGCGUUUUUUACUCUGUGACAAUGCUGACAGUCCAAUCGACAGCGUCGCUUCCGGGCUCUCUUUGGUCCCGACCUCAACACGAAGCGGAGCGAGUUCAACAAGUCUUUGUCAUUGUUUGUUUUAAUUAAAGUUAUUUUAGUCAUCGAGUUUUAUUAUAACUUUUCAAAACACAAUGAACACCCCGCAAGCCUCCAGGAAAGGUAUUACUAAUUUUAAAUGGUCAUUCAUCUCAUUCCAGUGCUGUCAAUAUGCUAGAAACUUCUCGUGACAAUGAUGACAGUUCUAAAUAAUAAAAUGGCUUCGGUGACAAAAUUACAGCAAGAUAAUGAAUCCCUGCAUUCAUCUAUAAAAGAUUUGUCCCUUAGACUAGGUUCUAUGGAACAGAUAACCCGAAAGAUAGAAAUAAAUGGUAAUUAAAAAAGGAGCAAACACAAGCAAAAACGAAGAGGAACUUCAACAUAAGUGACAUUAUUUACGAUGUUACUAAGGUCGCAUGUUCACUAGUUAAAAAAACCUCUGAUUAUCAUUAAAGUCGACAAGAAAAUGUCAUUACGCAAGUAUUUAACGGAAAAAUUAAAAACAGAAAUGAAUUAUAUAAACACGUUUUUUAUACUAAAGACAGAAAAGCUCUGCGUCUGGAAUAACCACCUCAGGUAAUCCUAACCUAGCGUUAGAUAAUUUUGAUCGAUUUGUUGUCACACGUCCAGAAAACAUAUUUAAUAUUGUUUACAUUUGUAACAAGACCAAGAACACGAAAACAUUGGAAUCUUGGAGCAUUAGGAAACGUGAGAAAAAAUAAAAUCUCCAAGUCAUAGGUUCAUUGCGAAAUUCAACCUCUUUGGCCGACAAGUGUGAACAAAACCAAUGAGGCUGCAUACUGGCCACCGAGACAUUUACAUAGUUUGUUAAACAUAAGAUGUAAGAGAAAUAAGCACACAAGAAAAAGGAUGUGAUAGACAUAGUUUUCAGUCCAUAAUAAGAAACUGUUACGUGAAUAAAUGUAAACAAGUUAAACUGUCAGUAACAAGUUAAACAAUAUGAGCUACAAAAAUAAUAAUUACUCGGUCUAAAACAUUAUUUCUUUUAGUGUAUUCUCCAGUUUAAAAUGCAUGGACUUUAAUUGCUUUUUUAGUAUGUGAAAUACAAGCAAACAGCCACCAAAAUGCACUAAAAUAGUGAAGUGACCACUGCCCAGACAUAUCCACAAUACCAAACUUUAUAACAUAUAGUGGAAAAGUACCUGGUAACUUAAUUAAGAGAAGGCACUGUUUCUUGUAACACAGGUUCCCACCACAGGAGGCAGAGUCCUCAAAUAUUGUAAAAUUUGGUGGAACAAUAAAGCAUUUUUAAUUUUCA